rnacentral:rRNA from 1 species
GAUGAACGCUGGCGGCGUGCCUAAUACAUGCAAGUCGAGCGAACUGAUUAGAAGCUUGCUUCUAUGACGUUAGCGGCGGACGGGUGAGUAACACGUGGGCAACCUGCCUGUAAGACUGGGAUAACUUCGGGAAACCGAAGCUAAUACCGGAUAGGAUCUUCUCCUUCAUGGGAGAUGAUUGAAAGAUGGUUUCGGCUAUCACUUACAGAUGGGCCCGCGGUGCAUUAGCUAGUUGGUGAGGUAACGGCGCACCAAGGCAACGAUGCAUAGCCGACCUGAGAGGGGGAUCGGCCACACUGGGACUGAGACACGGCCCAGACUCCUACGGGAGGCAGCAGUAGGGAAUCUUCCGCAAUGGACGAAAGUCUGACGGAGCAACGCCGCGUGAGUGAUGAAGGCUUUCGGGUCGUAAAACUCUGUUGUUAGGGAAGAACAAGUACAAGAGUAACUGCUUGUACCUUGACGGUACCUAACCAGAAAGCCACGGCUAACUACGUGCCAGCAGCCGCAGUAA